UGAACCCAGGGAUAGAAUAGCGG
rnacentral:miRNA from 1 species